UCCAUACCCAUUUUUCACUUUAUCCAGUCACGUCUGUCAAUGCCAACGAAUAACCAGAUCGCACCGGAGGAAAAUGAAAGCUCAAGAGAAGAUCCUUCAGAACACAAUAAAUAUAAUCCAACUAGAAUGAUAGCCGGCUCGUGGCGUAGUGGCAUCUGCAUCGUUCUUUGAGGAUCUGUUCUGGGACCAGCACCUAAGUGCCAUAAUAAAAGAAGCAUGACAAUCUACUUUCUUAGAAGUUUGCGCGGAUUCAGCAUGUCAUCGGUAAUUCUGACAACCUUUAUAGACACACAGUGGAGAGUACCCUGACCGAUUGCAUCACAGCGUGAUGGCGAACACCAAUGCACCAGAACGGAAAAGCCCACAGAAAGGGGUGGAUACUGCCCUCCAAAGCACCCUCUACCAUCCAAGUCAUGCUCUCUUCUCACUGCUGUCAUCAGAAAGGAGGGCAGGAGGCUUAGUUCCCACACCACCAAGUUCAGAAACAGCUAUAUAUUACCCUGAGUGAGUGCAGAUAACUUCACUCCCCUCAACUCUGUACCAGUUUCACAAUCACAGACUCUCUUUCAAACACUCGACAACUCAUGUUCUUGUUAUGUAUGCAUGUAUGUAUUUAUUUAUUUAUCAUUAUUAUUAUUAUUAGUGCUAUAUUUGCACAGAUUGUUUCCUUUGGCACAUUGGUUGUGUCAGUCUAUAUUUGUGUGCAGUUUUUCAUAGAUUCUAUUGUAUCUGUUUGUUUUAUUAUG